rnacentral:rRNA from 1 species
AUACAUGCAGUCGAGCGGACAGAUGGGAGCUUGCUCCCUGAUGUUAGCGGCGGACGGGUGAGUAACACGUGGGUAACCUGCCUGUAAGACUGGGAUAACUCCGGGAAACCGGGGCUAAUACCGGAUGGUUGUUUGAACCGCAUGGUUCAAACAUAAAAGGUGGCUUCGGCUACCACUUACAGAUGGACCCGCGGCGCAUUAGCUAGUUGGUGAGGUAACGGCUCACCAAGGCAACGAUGCGUAGCCGACCUGAGAGGGUGAUCGGCCACACUGGGACUGAGACACGGCCCAGACUCCUACGGGAGGCAGCAGUAGGGAAUCUUCCGCAAUGGACGAAAGUCUGACGGAGCAACGCCGCGUGAGUGAUGAAGGUUUUCGGAUCGUAAAGCUCUGUUGUUAGGGAAGAACAAGUACCGUUCGAAUAGGGCGGUACCUUGACGGUACCUAACCAGAAAGCCACGGCUAACUACGUGCCAGCAGCCGCGGUAAUACGUAGGUGGCAAGCGUUGUCCGGAAUUAUUGGGCGUAAAGGGCUCGCAGGCGGUUUCUUAAGUCUGAUGUGAAAGCCCCCGGCUCAACCGGGGAGGGUCAUUGGAAACUGGGGAACUUGAGUGCAGAAGAGGAGAGUGGAAUUCCACGUGUAGCGGUGAAAUGCGUAGAGAUGUGGAGGAACACCAGUGGCGAAGGCGACUCUCUGGUCUGUAACUGACGCUGAGGAGCGAAAGCGUGGGGAGCGAACAGGAUUAGAUACCCUGGUAGUCCACGCCGUAAACGAUGAGUGCUAAGUGUUAGGGGGUUUCCGCCCCUUAGUGCUGCAGCUAACGCAUUAAGCACUCCGCCUGGGGAGUACGGUCGCAAGACUGAAACUCAAAGGAAUUGACGGGGGCCCGCACAAGCGGUGGAGCAUGUGGUUUAAUUCGAAGCAACGCGAAGAACCUUACCAGGUCUUGACAUCCUCUGACAAUCCUAGAGAUAGGACGUCCCCUUCGGGGGCAGAGUGACAGGUGGUGCAUGGUUGUCGUCAGCUCGUGUCGUGAGAUGUUGGGUUAAGUCCCGCAACGAGCGCAACCCUUGAUCUUAGUUGCCAGCAUUCAGUUGGGCACUCUAAGGUGACUGCCGGUGACAAACCGGAGGAAGGUGGGGAUGACGUCAAAUCAUCAUGCCCCUUAUGACCUGGGCUACACACGUGCUACAAUGGACAGAACAAAGGGCAGCGAAACCGCGAGGUUAAGCCAAUCCCACAAAUCUGUUCUCAGUUCGGAUCGCAGUCUGCAACUCGACUGCG